rnacentral:rRNA from 1 species
GAAUGGAUUAAGAGCUUGCUCUUAUGAAGUUAGCGGCGGACGGGUGAGUAACACGUGGGUAACCUGCCCAUAAGACUGGGAUAACUCCGGGAAACCGGGGCUAAUACCGGAUAACAUUUUGCACCGCAUGGUGCGAAAUUCAAAGGCGGCUUCGGCUGUCACUUAUGGAUGGACCCGCGUCGCAUUAGCUAGUUGGUGAGGUAACGGCUCACCAAGGCAACGAUGCGUAGCCGACCUGAGAGGGUGAUCGGCCACACUGGGACUGAGACACGGCCCAGACUCCUACGGGAGGCAGCAGUAGGGAAUCUUCCGCAAUGGACGAAAGUCUGACGGAGCAACGCCGCGUGAGUGAUGAAGGCUUUCGGGUCGUAAAACUCUGUUGUUAGGGAAGAACAAGUGCUAGUUGAAUAAGCUGGCACCUUGACGGUACCUAACCAGAAAGCCACGGCUAACUACGUGCCAGCAGCCGCGGUAAUACGUAGGUGGCAAGCGUUAUCCGGAAUUAUUGGGCGUAAAGCGCGCGCAGGUGGUUUCUUAAGUCUGAUGUGAAAGCCCACGGCUCAACCGUGGAGGGUCAUUGGAAACUGGGAGACUUGAGUGCAGAAGAGGAAAGUGGAAUUCCAUGUGUAGCGGUGAAAUGCGUAGAGAUAUGGAGGAACACCAGUGGCGAAGGCGACUUUCUGGUCUGUAACUGACACUGAGGCGCGAAAAGCGUGGGGGAGCAAACAGGAUUAGAUACCCUGGUAGUCCACGCCGUAAA